UUAGUAUAAAUUUUUCAAUAUAUGUAAAAUUUUUAAAAAUUUUUCAUUUUUUGCAAUAUUUAAAUUUAAAUAUUAGGUAAUUCUUGAUUUAGAAAUAUUUUUUAGUACUAAUAAAGUUUGUGCCAGCAAUUGCGGUUAUACUAACAGUACUAUUAAAAAUUAUUGGUUAGGAUUAAUUGGUUUUUAGUAAAAAUAUAAAAUUUUAUGGUGAAAUAGAAAUUUUUUUUUAUGUUUGUAAAUUUAUUUGAAGUCUAAAAGUUAACUUAGAAACUAGGAUUAGAUACCCUAUUAUUAUAAUUUAAUUUUAUUACCUUAUGAUUAUUAGUUAUUAUCUUUAAAGUAAAAUAAUUUGGCGGUGUUUUAGUCUAUUUAGGGGAACCUGUUCUAUAAUUGAUAGUCCACGAUUAAAGGUACUUAAUUUUUUAGUUUGCAUAUCGUUGUUUAAAAUAUUCUUUAAGGAAAUGUUUAUUUGAUUUAUUAAGAAUUAAUUUCAGAUCAAGAUGUAGUUUAUAAUUAAGAAGAAAUGGGUUACAAUAAUAUUAAUUUUGAAUAUUAAUAUAGAAAAUUAAUUGAAUUUGGACUUAAAGGUAAAUUUUAAUAUAUUUUAAUUUUGAUUUUAGCUCUUGAACAUGUACAUAUCGCCCGUCGCUUUCAUUUAAAUUGAAAUAAGUCGUAACAAAGUAGAUUUACUGGAAAGUGAAUCUUGAAUAUC
rnacentral:ncRNA from 1 species